CAGACCUUCAAACGCUCCAGCGAAGCCCCUUUCAGAUCUCUCCUUAUAGCCUCAUACCUAGCUCCUCUCUUUAAUACUCUAAACCCACCCUCUCACCAAGGCCUGGAGUCUCUCUCUCUCUCUCUCUCUGCUUUUCUGACUACAUAUCUUCAAGUUGUUACUACUGCUCCUCCGUUCUCUUUCCCUCUCCUUUCUACCACAUCUCUUUCCACAAGAGGUCUUUCAAGUUUGGUGGAUGGAGAGCAUCAAAUCCCAUCAACUCCUCUUUCCAAGCUCUACUCCUCACUCGGAAGUCUUCUGCUCCGGUCUCACUACAGUAAACAAUCUCAACAAUGGUAUGAACGUUGCCAUGACAAACUUUGCGAGAUUCGUGAUCGAUGGUAGAAGCAUGGUCGGCUUUCCUGGGGAUCUCAUCUUUACAAGGAGCAGAAGACUUUCACUAGAACCAACCAAGGUUCCUUGUUAUUAAUGCCUUAGCGGUGCUAUCCUACCCGAGCUUUUCCCUCGACCUCCACUACUACCCUUAUCCUUCUUCACACACCUAUCACCUCUUCUCCUUUCGCAGUCUUGCAGGUUCAAGUCUUCUUGACCUUGUAAGGCCUUUUCUUGACCUUGUAAGACCCCAUCCCCCUUUGGUCCUCUUCGUCUCCUUCUCUACCACGAGCUUCCUCCUCGUGCUCAUUGACCAAGUCCUUUGUCGCCAUCUUCCUCCCUUCUCGCCCACCUCUUGCUCUCGUUCCUCGUCUAUCCCUUCUGAGCUAUUUACCUGGAAGUGCAUGGAUGCUUCUUCUCUUAAUUUAGUAUUUGAAUGCAUAGGACUCUCCGAAAGAUUUCAAGCUCCCCUCUAAGAGCUAUAUCUUUUGGUGGCUUUUCAUUUUAGUCUAUUGAAGUUUAAAUCUUGUUUUUUCGCCAGUCUUUUCUUUGUUUUUUUCUGUAUUAUGUGUGCAGAGGAAAUAUGCCUGUCUGCAGGUAUCCGUUCCUUUUGUUUUACAUGUUAAUGGGUUUGAUGAGUGAUCAAUAGAGAGUAAAAUAUUCUUCUCGUGACCAAUCGAGGCUGUUACAACGUA